rnacentral:rRNA from 1 species
CAGUCGCCGCGGGAAUACGAAGGGGGCUAGCGUCGUUCGGAAUUACUGGGCGUAAAGCGCACGUAGGCGGCUUGGUAAGUUAGAGGUGAAAGCCCAGGGCUCAACCCUGGAAUUGCCUUUAAGACUGCCGAGCUAGUAGGUGAGAGAGGUAAGUGGAAUUCCGAGUGUAGAGGUGAAAUUCGUAGAUAUUCGGAAGAACACCAGUGGCGAAGGCGGCUUACUGGCUCAUUCUAGACGCUGAGGUGCGAAAGCGUGGGGAGCAAACAGGAUUAGAUACCCCGGUAGUCCCUGUCUCUUAUAC